GGCAUUGGCGCGGCUGGCGGCUGCAAUGAGCUCCCGCGAGUCGUCGCUGCGCAUGAAGAGGACCACGACGCGCGCGUUGGGCUUCUGCAACAGUUCUCGGAUCACGCUGUCGUAGGACUUGCGGAUGUUGGAGCGGCCCACCUUCUCCGCCGUAGCGAUGCAGAUGUUGCGCAGGCGGGCUUCCUGCUCGAAGGCCUCGAUCCCUGUCUCCCCGUAAUCACCCUCGGAGGCUACUGUGGACACGUAGGUCCAGUUGAAGAAGCGCAAGAUCUCAGCCAUGGCUUUGGCCUGGUAGAAGUCGGGGGGCACGGUCCUGGCAAAGUAAUCAUAGCGCGACUUAUCACUGAGUUUGGCGCUGGUGGAUGCGUAGCUGAUCUGAGGGAUCUGGAAGAGCCGCAGCAGAUGGCUACAUUUUUCUGUUAGUUCUUGAGAUGAAUACCAGAUGCUUCCUUGGAUACUGUAUUUUGGACACUAGGAAGCAGGUCUCACACAGGACUAGGAGACUCUGGACAAAAUGGCCUAUACUGACUUAUUUAGGCAUAGGAAUAUUGCUUCACUCAGCCUGACUGAAAUGGCAGGUGUCACCAAACAGGUACUGUCAUUACUUCUAGAAUGAGUGCCUGGCUUCCACUGGAUUUAUGUACCACUAUGGAAGGCUUGGUGAUAGGAGCCCUGUCUAUGCAUAGCUUGACUUUGUUAAGAGGUUUCUGGCUAGCACUGGAGAGGCCAUCUCUUCUUGAUACAAUGAUUUUCUCAUCUUCAAGUUAUAUUAAUCAGGACCUGAACCCCUCAGGGAGACAGAGAAUGAAAGGACCUAAAAAAUAUCUGGACAUUAUUUUCUGGCAGCGAAGAAUCACAGUGAAACAAUCCUAAACUGCUGAAAUUUCCUCUCCCAUAGGGGUAGGAGUAAUGAGAAACUGCUCA
rnacentral:lncRNA from 1 species